GAUUCGGGCUCCGGCCCGAUCCUCCCACCCUUUGUGUACCUACCUCUGUUGCUUUGGCGGGCCGCGGUUCUCCGCGGCCGCCCCCCUCCCCGGGGGGUGGCCAGCGCCCGCCAGAGGACCAUCAAACUCCAGUCAGUAAACGAUGCAGUCUGAAAAACAUUUAAUAAACUAAAACUUUCAACAACGGAUCUCUUGGUUCUGGCAUCGAUGAAGAACGCAGCGAAAUGCGAUAAGUAAUGUGAAUUGCAGAAUUCAGUGAAUCAUCGAAUCUUUGAACGCACAUUGCGCCCUUUGGUAUUCCGAAGGGCAUGCCUGUUCGAGCGUCAUUACAACCCUCAAGCUCUGCUUGGUAUUGGGCACCGUCCUUUGCGGGCGCGCCUCAAAGACCUCGGCGGUGGCGUCUUGCCUCAAGCGUAGUAGAACAUACAUCUCGCUUCGGAGCGCAGGGCGUCGCCCGCCGGACGAACCUUCUGAACUUUUCUCAAGGUUGACCUCGGAU
rnacentral:rRNA from 1 species